AAGCUUGCGCGGGUUAAAAAGGUAAUUGGUGCGGUACGCCGCCCAUGACUGGAAACCCACAGGCACAGACAAAUCGAGUGUUGCGGGAUUACGGGUACGGCCGAUGGCGCAAGCCUUCGUCGGACCCCUCCAUCCCAGGGUGUCCCGUUCGGGUGCUUGCACCCAGCGGACAUCCCCGGAGUGCGUAGGAUGUGACCCGAAAGAUGGUGAACUAUGCCUGAUCAGGUUGAAGUCAGGGGAAACCCUGAUGGAGGACCGAAGCAAUUCUGACGUGCAAAUCGAUUGUCAGAGUUCUUCAGGGGCGAAAGACA
rnacentral:rRNA from 1 species